rnacentral:rRNA from 1 species
AAUCAACGCUGGCGGCGCGCCUAACACAUGCAAGUCGAACGAGAAAGGGGAGCAAUCCCUGAGUAAAGUGGCGCACUGGUGAGUAACACGUGGAUAUCUACCUCCUGGUGGGGAAUAACCUGGGGAAACCCGGGCUAAUACCGCAUAAGUUCGGAAGAAGAAAGCCGUAAGGCGCCGGGAGAGGAGGCCGCGGUCGAUUAGCUAGUUGGCGGGGUAAAAGCCCACCAAGGCAAAGAUCGAUAGCCGGCCUGAGAGGGCACACGGCCACACUGGCACUGAAACCCGGGCCAGACUCCUACGGGAGGCAGCAGUGGGGAAUCUUGCACAAUGGGGGAAACCCUGAUGCAGCGACGCCGCGUGAACGAUGAAGCCCUUCGGGGUGUAAAGUUCUUUCGGCAGGAACGAUUAUGACGGUACCUGCAGAAGAAGCUGCGGCUAACUACGUGCCAGCCGCCGCGGUAACAC